CUACGGGAGGCUGCAGUGGGGAAUAUUGGACAAUGGGGGAAACCCUGAUCCAGCAAUGCCGCGUGUGUGAAGAAGGCCUGCGGGUUGUAAAGCACUUUCGGUUGGGAGGACUGCUUCUAGCACUAAUAUUGUUGGAAGUUGACGUUACCUUCAGAAGAAGCACCGGCUAACUCCGUGCCAGCAGCCGUGGGAAUACGGAGGGUGCAAGCGUUAAUCGGAAUUACUGGGAGUAAAGCGCGCGUAGGCGGCUAGAUCAGUCGGGUGUGAAAGCCCCGGGCUUAACCUGGGAACUGCAUCCGAUACUGUCUAGCUUGAGUACAGGAGAGGAGGGUGGAAUUCCACAUGUAGCGGUGAAAUGCGUAGAUAUGUGGAGGAACACCAAUGGCGAAGGCAGCUCUCUGGCCUGAUACUGACGCUGAGGUGCGAAAGCGUGGGGAGCAAACAGGAUUAGAUACCCCUGUAGUC
rnacentral:rRNA from 1 species